UACAUGUGGGGCAAGCGUUGUCCGGAAUUAUUGGGCGUAAAGAGCUCGUAGGCGGUUUGUUGCGUCGGCUGUGAAAUCCCGAGGCUCAACCUCGGGUCUGCAGUCGAUACGAGCAAACUAGAGUGUUGCAGGGGAGACUGGAAUUCUUGGUGUAGCGGUGAAAUGCGCAGAUAUCAGGAGGAACACCGGUGGCGAAGGCGGGUCUCUGGGCAACAACUGACGCUGAGGAGCGAAAGCGUGGGGAGCGAACAGG
rnacentral:rRNA from 1 species